AGAAGGAAAAUACUUUUCCCACCAGCUUUGUUUGGAGUGUCCUUCUGGUCAUUUUUGUCCUGGCAAUGUAUCUGCACCUCAUAGAUGUCCAGCAGGAACAUUCAACCUCUACACAGGGAGAAGCAGUAUCAGUGACUGCAAGCCUUGUUUACCAGGUCUGAUCAGUUCGGAGGACAGCGUGGACUGUAAGCUGUGCCCUGCAGGUUUCUCAUGUGAUCCAGCAAACGGGACCCUCUUUUUAUGCCCCCCAGGACAACACUCUCCUGAGGGGGUCCUACAGUGUCUGACAUGCCCUGUAGAUUCUGUUUGCACCUCUGGAUUUCCUUUUAAGUGUGGGCCUGGCAAGGAGCCUAAUGUAGAUCACACUGUGUGUAAUGACUGUUCCCCGGGCUUCUACUCUACUGUGUGCACUAUCCAGUGCCUGCCGUGUCCAGCAGGUA